rnacentral:rRNA from 1 species
CCUACGGGAGGCAGCAGUGGGGAAUAUUGGACAAUGGGGGCAACCCUGAUCCAGCCAUGCCGCGUGUGUGAAGAAGGCCCUCGGGUUGUAAAGCACUUUCAGUGAGGAAGAACGCCUGGUGGUUAAUACCCAUCAGUAAAGACAUCACUCACAGAAGAAGCACCGGCUAACUCCGUGCCAGCAGCCGCGGUAAUACGGAGGGUGCGAGCGUUAAUCGGAAUUACUGGGCGUAAAGCGCGCGUAGGUGGCUUGAUAAGCCGGUUGUGAAAGCCCCGGGCUCAACCUGGGAACGGCAUCCGGAACUGUCAAGCUAGAGUGCAGGAGAGGAAGGUAGAAUUCCCGGUGUAGAGGUGAAAUGCGUAGAGAUCGGGAGGAAUACCAGUGGCGAAGGCGGCCUUCUGGACUGACACUGACACUGAGGUGCGAAAGCGUGGGUAGCAAACAGGAUUAGAUACCCGUGUAGUC